rnacentral:lncRNA from 1 species
AAGUCUUCGCGGUUAGAAGGGUGAAAAACCCCCAGAAUUUCAACACUAGGUUCUGACUCCUCCGGUGCUUCUUCAAAGAGCUCUCUAGCUCUCUUCUUAGGGCUCUUAAAAGCCUUAGCAUUAGAAGAGCUAUGCUCCUCCAGAGAAAGGCUCGGAUCCGACACCACUAUCUUACCCUUAUCUAUCCUACUAGGCCCGUCAUCCUUAAAAAAGACUUUAGGAAUCGGAGCAGAGCUCUCAUCAGUAAUUCUAAUCCUUCUCGCCACUUCCUUGAAGGUUCUACCAUCCCUCAUAGCUCAUUUACCUUUCCUUUUGCGA